rnacentral:rRNA from 1 species
GACGAACGCUGGCGGCGUGCCUAAUACAUGCAAGUCGAACGAACCGCGACCGAGUGCUUGCACUUGGUCAAGGUGAGUGGCGAACGGGUGAGUAACACGUGGGUAACCUACCUCAUAGUGGGGGAUAACAGUCGGAAACGACUGCUAAUACCGCAUAGGACAUAGGAUCACAUGAUCCAGUGAGGAAAGGUGGCGCAAGCUAUCGCUAAGAGAUGGACCCGCGGUGCAUUAGCUAGUUGGUAGGGUAAAGGCCUACCAAGGCGAUGAUGCAUAGCCGACCUGAGAGGGUGAUCGGCCACAUUGGGACUGAGACACGGCCCAAACUCCUACGGGAGGCAGCAGUAGGGAAUCUUCCGCAAUGGACGCAAGUCUGACGGAGCAACGCCGCGUGAGUGAAGAAGGUCUUCGGAUCGUAAAGCUCUGUUGUUAGAGAAGAACAGCGCAUAGAGUAACUGCUAUGCGUGUGACGGUAUCUAACCAGAAAGCCACGGCUAACUACGUG